AUUUCAACUCAUUUCCCACUACCUACUAGUCAAACUUCCAUUUCCAAAAACCACUACUAUCACUUCUACCUUAUCGUUGCAAUUGCCACUAUCAGGGGAUUUCUUCCCAUGGUUUUGCGAGCCUAAUCAAUGGGAUUUAGUCGACAAAGCAAGGAGAAAAUCUUCUUGGUAGUCGGCAAUUACAUUGGUGAGGUAAGGUUGUCGACAGGUUGGCCAACAGUGGAUUGAAAAAGAUGGAGCAAAAAAUUUCAUUAAUCACUGAACUUACAGAAGCGCCACUCUAUCUAUCACUCAGCAUCUAGCUGUUUGAAACAAUCUUAUGUGGCUUGAUGGAAUUUCGUGUGGCAAACAAUGGUGUGAAACUAAUGCCACGAUGGAUGUGAUUUCAAUUUGAAAACCCGGUCUUAAACUUCAAAAUUGAAAUCCAAGUAACCCAAUUUCCCUAAUUCUAAUUCAUGAACCCUAAAUCAAUCUCCUUCAUCAACCUCUCCCAAUUCAAAACUCGUGAAAUGAACCUACAUCCCGUAGCUGAACCCCAACAAAACACGAAAUAGGUAAUAUCCUGAAUUUCCAUGUACUGAUUUGAAUCUUAAUUUGUUAAUAGACAGUCGACUUGGUUAGAAAUUUCGGCUAACUUGUUGCUAUGGACCAUUGGCCUGUCAAUUUUUUAUUUUUAUUUUUGAAUUUGUUGGCUACUCGAAGUCGAUAGAUAGUUUUGAUUUUAUCUUUCAUUCAGGUUCAAUAAUUUCUCAUUCUAACCACUUUAAAUUUUCAAUUCUGAAUUUGGAUUGGACGCGAAAAAUGAAAUGAUUUUCGAUAUAUUGUCAUUUAAUGCUAAGUAUGGUAUGAUUGUCAUUGUGCUUGAGGAGGUUUUAAAAUGAAUUGAUAGUCGUAUUUUUGAUAGGAAAUUAUUAAAUCAUUGUUGCGUAUGUAAUAAAUUUGCUAAUUAUGUUAUACAUGUUUUCCUUCUAUGAAGUUAUUGGUGCAGAAGAAUAGGAGCAUACUGCAUAUGUCACAGUUGUAGGAAGCUAGGGCACUUCUUAUUUGAUUGCCCAACAAAGAAACAAUGCCCAAAAUGUGGUAAUGACAUCGAGAAAUGUAUAGAGGUACAGAAAAAUACGUCAAGCGUAGGGCACUUAUUCUUUUGCUAUACCAGAGAUUGUGUCAUUUUUAAGUUGAAAAUUGAAGGUGAGUCGAGUGGCGAAUCAAGUUGUCUUGUUUAGGGUAAAGGUAAGGCUAUAGAAUCAAUUGAAGAUCUAUCGAGUAAGUUCGAGACAUGUGAUCAAAUCACAGAAAAGAAAAAAGUGAAAAUAUCCGUCAACGUCAUGUUUCGCAAGGGUAAAGGAGUUUUGGAGGAUGAAGGGAGAAUCUUUGUAAAUUAUUUCAGCUUAGUAGUUUGCUUUGUACAAAAUCAUGUAUGUGGAUCUAGUGUAGUUGGUGUAUAUGCAUUGAUGCAAGAUUUUAUGUAGCCUUUUUGGUAAUGAUGUUUGACAACCGAUUCAGUUACUGAUACAAGAGUUUAUGUAUCUUUAUUCAUAAUCAUGGUUUUU
rnacentral:lncRNA from 1 species